AGUACAUAGUUGAACCUAAAACAAUCUAUUAGAAAUAUAUCUAUUAAGUACUUGAAGUACCAAUUUUGAAAGAAUUUCACAUCCAAACAAGAGCAAAUUUGAAUUCAACAUAUCAACUACGUUCAGAACACUGAUUAGGGGAAAGAAACAGAAAUAUAGGCAGAUGACAACAAAAGGCAGUAUGCACUUUUGUAUUAGGAGGUAACGCUGUGCAUCGAUAUAAUUUCAUACUUCUCGGAAAUUCUUUGGAGGAUGAAGUAAUAGAGCAUGAGUAAACUAAAAAAAUAUAUUAUCCACAAGGUGGCGUGACUGUCUGUAACUUUUUGUUGAGUAGUUAUUAAAAAAAAAUGGUGCAUGCUAAGAAGAACUUUCAUAGAGGCCUCUUAUUUAUUGCCAUCACUUCGGAUAAUGCAGCCAAUUUUAAAGUUACCAUUAAAUUAAUUGGUUAAAUUAGAAAAAAUAUUGGAAGAAGAAAAAUGGAAUAACUUAAAAUUAGUUUCGUGGAUAGAGACACGAUGGAACUCUGUGUCCCCAUGGCACAACGUGCAUUAAAAUUCAAAAUUAAAAUCGAUAUGAUUUGUUUUGAAGAGAGGACGAUGAGUUAAUGACAAAUUCAAUUCUCCAUAUUUGCACAAUUUUUUUUUUUUUUUCAUAUAUCAACAUUAUUGGAUCCAAGAUUCAAGAAACCCUGGUUUAAUUCUUCAGAAUUAAUUUCGGAUACAAUUUCAAAAUUGAAGAGGAAGGGAAAUGUUGAAACAGCUAACACAGACGAGGAUUAUGAUGAGGAAGAAGAGGAUUCGUGUCUCUAGAGCACAAUCUCCAACGAAACGAGAAAGUUAAAAAAAAAAAAAAAUAUUAUUUGUCCUCUUAAAAUGACAACAUCAGUGGUGAAUUAAAUAAAUUCUGGCAAGAAUUGGUUGUAUCACCAAGUUUUAACUCAGAGUUUUGGUGUAUGUCUAAAGGCCGGCACUCCUUCCCUGAACUCUACAAAGUUUUUAAAAAGUACUCUUCUAUUCCUGGAUCGUCUGUUUCUUCUGAAAGAUUAGUUUCUUCAACAGGGCAAAUCAUAACUCAAUCAAAAAUAGAUUGAGGGGUGAUUUGGCCGAAGUUUUAAUAGUAUUAAAUGGAAACUUAAAAGAUUAACAUGUUGCCUAUAAAACUUAAAUUUCCAAAUAUAUAUUUUUUAAGAUA
rnacentral:lncRNA from 1 species